rnacentral:rRNA from 1 species
AAUUGGAGGGCAAGUCUGGUGCCAGCAGCCGCGGUAAUUCCAGCUCCAAUAGCGUAUAUUAAAGUUGUUGCAGUUAAAAAGCUCGUAGUUGAAUUUCGGGAUCAAUAUUUCGGUCAUGCCGUUGGUAUGCACUGUUAUCAUUGAUUUCUCACCUUCUAAAGAACCGUAAUGCCACUAAUUUGGUGUUACGGGGAAUUAGGACUGUUACCUUGAAAAAAUUAGAGUGUUUAAAGCAGGCUCACGCUUGAAUACAUUAGCAUGGAAUAAUGAAAUAGGACAUCCGAUUCUAUUUUGUUGGUUUCUAGGAUCGAUGUAAUGAUUAAUAGGGAUAGUUGGGGGCAUUAGUAUUCAAUUGUCAGAGGUGAAAUUCUUGGAUUUAUUGAAGACUAACUACUGCGAAAGCAUUUGCCAAGGAUGUUUUCAUUAAUCAAGAACGAAAGUUAGGGGAUCGAAGACGAUCAGAUACCGUCGUAGUCUUAACCAUAAACUAUGCCGACUAGGGAUCGGAUGAUGUUAAUUUUUUAAUGACUCAUUCGGCGCCUUACGGGAAACCAAAGUGU